UUGAUUGCUUCGCGUCACAAUUAACUUUAUGCAUUUCGAAACAAAAAAGAAUGGCGAACAGUGUUUCAUGUCAUGUUUGCUAUUACCGUGAAUCCAAGGCUGUUGGAGAGCGUGGCGUGGAACACGUUUGUCGGGUGCAAGCGUGCAAAGCAUUUCGUAUCGACACAGACAAUCUGACAGUCUAUCUCUGGUCUAUCUGUAAUUUACAGAUUCCUCUUAAACGAAAAACAAGUUUGCCCUCCAUCAGUGCUAAACACUGUACCGCACUUGAUCUCGUUUAUCAGAAACAUUUUAGUCUUCAGAAAAAUGAAAUCUGAGUCACAAUACUAAAGGAGGUCCCGGAAGACUUGCGUUGUAACAACAAUUCAUACAGUCUUACGUUAUCCUUGUAUAUUGUAUUUCUAAUACUGCACUUUAAACGAUGUUCAAAAUGUAGAUAAGUUUUCUACAUGCACAGCAGAAAAACUGAA